AAAUUGAAGAGUUUGAUCAUGGCUCAGAUUGAACGCUGGCGGCAGGCCUAACACAUGCAAGUCGAGCGGAAACGACACUAACAAUCCUUCGGGUGCGUUAAUGGGCGUCGAGCGGCGGACGGGUGAGUAAUGCCUAGGAAAUUGCCUUGAUGUGGGGGAUAACCAUUGGAAACGAUG
rnacentral:rRNA from 1 species